UACGGGGGGGGCAAGCGUUGUUCGGAAUUACUGGGCGUAAAGGGCGCGUAGGCGGUUCGUUAAGUCCUGUGUGAAAUCCCCCCGGCUCAACUGGGGAACUGCACAGGAAACUAGCGGGCUUGAGUUCGGGAGAGGGAAGCGGAAUUCCGGGGUGUAGCGGUGAAAUGCGUAGAUAUCCGGAGGAACACCGGUGGCGAAGGCGGCUCCU
rnacentral:rRNA from 1 species